rnacentral:rRNA from 1 species
UACGGGGGGGGCAAGCGUUGCUCGGAAUCACUGGGCGUAAAGGGUGCGUAGGCGGGUUUUUAAGUCAGAGGUGAAAUCCUGGAGCUCAACUCCGGAACUGCAUUCGAUACUGCUUUGCUCGAGUACUGGAGAGGAGAUUGGAAUUUACGGUGUAGCAGUGAAAUGCGUAGAUAUCGUAAGGAAGACCAGUGGCGAAGGCGAAUCUCUGGACAGUUACUGACACUGAGGCACGAAGGCCAGGGGAGCAAACGGG